ensembl:lncRNA
CCUCCGUACUAUGAGGUAUUACUACUGUUACCUCCGUACUAUGAGGUAUUACUACUGUUACCUCCGUACUAUGAGGUAUUACUACUGUUACCUCCGUACUAUGAGGUCUUACUACUGUUACCUCCGUGCUAUGAGGUAUUAAUACUGUUACCUCCGUGCUAUGAGGUAUUAAUACUGUUACCUCCAUACUAUAAGGUAUUACUACCAUGACCUCUGUACUAUGAACUACUACUACUUCGACCUUUGAACCAUUAUCAAAUCAUGAUAUUAGGAAGGAGUCCACACUGAGCGUCACGUCUCUUAACGUGUUUUACGGGACAAUCGAAGGGAACAUCGGAUGUUUUACAAAGAUUAUCUUAAAACUCCCAAAUCGUUUGCUGCCUCUAAAAAUUCUAAAAGGUUCAGGGACAGAAGUCGGUGAAAGAUUCAUGGUCUUAUUGAGUCGGCCGUGUCAUCUGCUUUCAGGGCCGCUGUUUAUCUUCCUCCUGAUGCAGAUGUUUAACGUUGCACUGCAGGAACACAUGACUGCUUUUAGCUUUUGUGCGUCAUGUUCCUCGUGUGCAGCAAACGGGCUGCGAGUGCAUUUUGUUGCAUGAUGAAAAUAAAUUAUGUUGGAGUCCUUACAUGCAUCCAUUGUAUGUGCUGAGUUCCUACAGCCCCCAGAGGGCCGCAGCCUCUUCACAUCCUGUCGAUGCGUUUUCUAUUUUAGUGUCGGACAGUGAAAUACCACAUGUGUCAACAGAUUAUUGGUUUUUGACUUACAGAAGACAAAAAGAAGCGAAAACAUUCAACCUGUUAGUUUGAGUUAUUGUGACAAAUGCGGAAUGUGAAACAUUCAAACUUUUGUUGGUUUACAUUAAAACUCAUGAAGGGAGAUUUUUAAGUCAAAUAAAAGGAAAUUACAAAAUAAACAUUGAUCCUGAAAAGUGGAAUUAUGGGACACAAAAGAAGAGGAACAAAUGUAAAUAACUGUUCAUGUCAUUAAAUACAUUAAACCCACUGCAAUGUUGUUUUCCAGAGUGACAUUUACGGAGCAUUUACCCAACAACAGACGAGUCAUCGCCGGAACGCCACCGCGGCUGAUUUACUGACCGCCAGAGUUUUUACAGUGAGAGAUAAAAACACGCUAAGGUCAUGUUUUAUUUAUUUGUUCCAUCACCAUUAUAAUUAGCAAUUUAAAUCACAAAACUACAUUCAGAAGAAACUAUUAUGUUGAAUUCUCCCGCUGGGAGCCGUCAGGCUACAGAUAAACCAGCACAGGGGCCCAACACGAGGCCCGCGGCCCCCAGGAGGUCACGGCAGAGUGGUGUUCAGGAACUAGAAUUAAGGUGAUUUGUUAAGGAACUAAAAUGUAGGUGGUGUGUUCAGGAACUAAAAUGAAGGUGGUGCGUUAAGGAACUAGAUGGUUUUGCUGUUUUUUGGAGUGGACUAACUUAACUAACUUAAACACAGAUUUAAAUACUUACUCAUUUUAUAAUAAAUCAAGAAAAUAACAUAUUUUAAAGCUUUGUUUGCUCUUGAACAGCGACAAUAAUUAUUGAAAGUAACAAACCGUGUUUUAUUUAUUAGAAAAAAAAGGUUAAAAUCUCAUCAAAACCUUAUUUUUAAAAAUGCCUUCAAGACGCGGAAACAGGAAGUAAACAAACUGCUGACUCGUCCUCUUGUUUUCGAACUCGUUCCUGCAGCUUUGUGUUGGAGGGCUUGUGGUGCGAUUUGUUUCCUCGGCUCUCUUCCUCAUGACAGAACCGCUCUCGCUCACUUUAGCUCGAUUUAUCGUAUGCAAAGUGUUACAUAAAUGUAAAUCAACUCAUCCGAUUAAUAUUUCACCGUGAUUUCACUUAGCAGAUUUGUCUUUCAGAAAAAGCGGACACGAAACAAUGAGAGCCGCUCUUCCAUAUUUUAAUGACAAAACAAACUGCCGCUCAGACAAAACACGCGGGUUUAAACAUUAAUGCUUCCUGCAGAUGUAUAUCCAGAAGAAGAGGAGGAGAGGAGGGCGGGGAGGUGGGGGGGAAAUGGGGCAGAAACCUGAAGGAGGAGCUCAUCAGGUUCGGAGAGACUUAAGUGCUCGGAUGAACAUCGUCCCAACAAAGCAGCCAUGUAUAAUGCAGACGCUUCCAUUUGUCAUCUCUGAAUGCUUAUCAUUGCUGUCAUUAUUCAAGAGGUUCUGAGUGUUAAAGACACAAAGACAGUCCCCUCCCACCCCCCCACCCCUAACCCCAUUUGAGAGGUUUGGGACAAAAUCCGUUUGUCCAAUCCAAGUCAGAUCUUUAAAAAAAAAAAACAGCGGAAAGAAUGCCUCCGUUGAAGAGGAGGACACGUGGGUCGGUGUUAUUAAACACUUGAGACACGACGAUGCAGGUUCUUAAUUAUCCCCCCAGGGCGACGCGUUGGACCCCCGUCAGCCGGUUAGAGACGGGAACAACUUUGAAUCACUCGAUGGACGGGUGUGUGCGUGGAUGCGUCGGUGCCUCCGUCCUCUCGUCUCUUCGGUGUGGUUGAACUCUCGGGGGCCGAUUGGAGAAUUAAGUUUUUAUUUCCGUUCUUAUUGAUGAAGUAGGAAUCUGGGCUCCAUUUGGCGACAGAAGAUAUCAGCUCAGUUCGAAAAAGCUCAAGUUUGGCCUUCGGUUUUCAGAGUGAAAGUACUGUCAUGGUGUAGCCCCGCCCUGAAGCGUCCUCCGCUUUCUGGGCUGUCUGCCUCUAAAUGGACCAUCAUUUACUAAAUGAACAUCACGCUGUAUUAAAGAAGACUACAAACUACAGAUUGAGACCAUAAACUCAUGUUUACAAUAUUUACAGAGGGAGUAAAUCAAGAGAGAAGUAGUCAUUUUCUCAUAGACUUCUAUAGGACCAGAGGAGUCGCCCCCUGGUGGUCACCACCGAGAUCGCACCAUUGCGAGCACUGAGGAAUCCCGGCAAAAAGGCAGAAAAUAAGCCGUGUACCUUAAUGUGAAUGAGGGCUAACAGGAGAGAGGAUUCAAACAUGUAUUCUGUGCAGUAAAACGAUCACAAUGCCAGAAUUGAUUUGAGUGACACGAGGCAGCAGAGGAAAGCCGAACGCUUUGCACUGAAAAGUGGCUUCAAUGUGUAGAAACACAAUACAAGUAAAUGUACAACAUGUGAGACACGUCAAACAAAGACAUUUUGAUUAAACACACAAUCCUAAGAUUUUGAUUUGGUUGCUUUUAUGGUCAUAAAUGAUAUAGCUGACUAUAAUGUAUUGUAUAUGUAGAUGUCAUUAAUAGUAUUAAAUAAAUGAACGGAUUAGUCAAUUGACAUUUAAUUAAAUAAUUAUCAUUUUGCUUAUCCAUUAAUCAUAUUCGUCAUUUUAGUUAAAAAAAGAUGCCAAAAAUGUUCGGGCCACCUUUUAAAUAUGGAAUUUUACAAAAAUAUAUAAGCUACACUUAGUCUGAGAAAGUUAUUCAGGUUUUUAUGGAUUUUAUAAAUAAAGAAAAAAACAUGUGGAAGGUAAUACUGAAAAGCUAACAGAGUUUAGGUUGUUAGCUGGUGUGCAGCCACACAUUUAUCUGUCUCUUCAAAUAUUAAUCAUACUUGAGAAUCAGUAACUAUGAAUUAGACAUCGUCGAUACAUUUCCUUAAUCCUGUGAAACCCUAAAAGGCACCGAGACCUGAAAUGAUCCAGAAUCAGACUCACUCACACACAGGUGUUUAAAUACAGGUGAUCCUGUGGCAUCAGCUCCUCCACAUGCUAACGAUUAAGCAGCUAAUUACUGAUUAGCUUCAUGUCGACAAGUCAGCAAUACUUGUACAAAUAAUACCAAGAAUCAGAUUCAGAGGAAAGUAGACGGAAUGAUUCAUGUUUUCACUGAUUUUUGCUGUAUUUUGGGGAAUUCUAUAUUGAUUUUGAAUGCCCAAUUAUACUGUAUAGUUUUGGAAAACAGCUCAUGUAAUUAACACAAUAGAUUCACUACUGUUUAUGAAUUGAUUUUAACAUGCUGGCUGUAAUGUUCCAUUUACCUCACAGGUGCAACAUGUGUCAUUUACAUAAAAAUAAAUGAAUGAAUUUUACUGUAAACCCAACAUCUUUAAACAUUUGAAAUGUAUUUCCUGUGGUCAGGUGGGAGGAAAUGUUUGUCUUCAUUCUACCAAGUAUUUAUGUACUUUACACAACAAUAGCUUGUUUGAUGAAGUUACAUCACAAACAUCUAAAAGAGAACUUAAAAUAAACACAAUUCAUAUCACACUUUGACCAAAACUACUGGCUAUGAAGAUUAAAUUCAUAACUCUGUGUUUUUGUGAAUUUAUUUGAGGUAUACUUCUUUAAAGAAGAAGAAAAUAAAACGAGCAUCGGAGAAUGUUCUUAAAUGUUAAGAAGAAUGAAAAUAAUAUUCUUAAUUUAACGUUCACACAGUAUUUAUGAGAACAGCAUGGAGGAGGAAAGCAAAGAAAUGUGUAGUGUUGUAAAUCAGGAAGGUAAUGUUAAUUAAAAACGUCUAGCCUUGAAUUAUGCUUAUAAUCUUUUUAUAAAAGUUGAUUUGUUAUAAACAUCUUGACUUUAGUUUGAUAUUUUAACAUUUCUGUCUUCUCUACUGAUUAUGCAAUAAUGUGAUUUAAUUAUUUUUUCAUUGUGCCACAGUUUGAAUUACAUUGCAUCUAUUAUUGUUCUACUAUAUUUUAAAAAGUAUUAAUAUAGCAAUUUAUCAACGGUGCGUAGUGGGAACUCAAUUGACAGAUUUACUUAAACACAAUGAACUGAGAGUAUUCCUCCUGAUUUUUUCGUGACGGUUAAGUAAAAUAAACUGAACAAAUCUUGAACUCAAAUGUCAUAUAUGCAGUUUAAAAAAAGUACAUUUCUGCCAAUGUUCAUGUGAAAAAGAUCGACGCGUCUGGCGAGGCAUUAACAUCAAAUUUACAUAAAGUAUUAAAUAAAACAAUAAUCCUUAACAAACAUAUGAACAUAAAAUAAGUAAAACUACACAUUCUAAGUAUAGAAACAUAUUUUUAGUACAGUUUCAAUUUAUCUUUAUUUCUACAAACUGAAACGGAAUCAGACGAAGAUCUCGGUGUUUAACAUGCGGUCUGUGGCUCCACCUGCUGUACUCUGCUGUACUACCAGGACUACUACCACUACAUGUAUAUAUGUACUACCAGUACUACUGUCCACGCAUAGAGCUAACAAAGUGAUUCAUCACAGUGAAUAGUUCACAUCAUCUUUUAUUAUUGUUUUGCCUCCUCAUGUAUACUUUCCUUCAUAUAUAUUGUGCUAUUUUAUCGUGUAUUUAUACUUUAUAUCAUAGUUCAUUUUAAGCAUUGAUUUUUUAUCCAUCUUUGGAUAAAAACCAUGUGAUUGACUUGAAAGCUCCAGAACAGAGUAGGAGAUGGUAUAUUACUUUAUUGUGUAGAUGAAUAACAUAUGUUUUCUUAUUUCAUCAUCAGCAUGACCAAAUAUACUUGGACAUAUUAAGUACAGUUCAAUUUUGAAGAUUUGAAGAGAAUUUAGUAAUUGGACAAAAUAUUGAUAUAUACAGUUUUUUUUAAUUGUUUCUGUCUUAAACUAUCGACGGUUAUGAUAUGUCAUUAAUUACACGUUGAGUCUUUCAGACAUUGUUUUUCUAUACAAGGUUUCAAAUUCAUUACUUUCACUUGUUGAGUUACCUUUAGUCUAUUUCAUGGCCCUUUUAUUUACUGUAUAAAUGAAGAAUGUUUAAUAAAUUGAUCUUGAUUGGGUCUGAAAAUGCUCCUAAUCCGCCACCUGGUGGUUAAAACCGACAACAUGUUAAUUGUCCCAUUUCCCCCCCCCAAAUUUGGUCUCAUUUUAUCUUCAUUUGUAUAUAUUGACAAGCAUAUUCUGAGGGAAAGAUUCAUUAGACAAUUAAUUCAAAUUAAGAAGUAAAUUAAAAAUAAUUACUUGAAGUGUGUCUAUAAUAUUAUGAACAUAGAUUCCAUCCUGGCCAAUAUGCAAAGUUAAUGUAAUAACAGGGUAUAAAAUAAAAGAAUGUGUAAGUUUGAAUAAGGAUGCAUCAUCAAUAUUCUAAAAGUCAAUCAACCAGCAUCGGGCAAGAGACGGUCGUCAGUCAAUCAGAGCUGACAGAGAAUUAUUCUCACAUUUAUACACCUAUGGGCAAUCUUCAUCAUCAUCAAGUAACCUAAACCCCGACUGCGGGAAGAGGGAUAUCCAGAGAGAACCCAUGCAGAGACGGGGAACUUUAUUUUUUAUUUUACAGUAUUAAAUCAUAUACACGUAAAAUAUUGGUUUAUUCUAAAAAUAUGAUUACAUAUGUAUCUCUUAGAAACACCCUAUAUUUUAUUUAUCUUUCUAGAUAUAUGUAUAUAUAUAUAUAUGUCUGCGUGAAUAUAUAUA